rnacentral:rRNA from 1 species
GGACGUUACUCGCAGAAUAAGCACCGGCUAACUUCGUGCCAGCAGCCGCGGUAAUACAGAGGGUGCGAGCGUUAAUCGGAUUUACUGGGCGUAAAGCAUGCGUAGGCGGCUUAUUAAGUCGGAUGUGAAAUCCCCGAGCUUAACUUGGGAAUUGCAUUCGAUACUGGUGAGCUAGAGUAUGGGAGAGGAUGGUAGAAUUCCAGGUGUAGCGGUGAAAUGCGUAGAGAUCUGGAGGAAUACCGAUGGCGAAGGCAGCCAUCUGGCCUAAUACUGACGCUGAGGUACGAAAGCAUGGGGAGCAAACAGGAUUAGAUACCCUGGUAGUCCAUGCCGUAAACGAUGUCUACUAGCCGUUGGGGCCUUUGAGGCUUUAGUGGCGCAGCUAACGCGAUAAGUAGACCGCCUGGGGAGUACGGUCGCAAGACUAAAACUCAAAUGAAUUGACGGGGGCCCGCACAAGCGGUGGAGCAUGUGGUUUAAUUCGAUGCAACGCGAAGAACCUUACCUGGCCUUGACAUACUAGAAACUUUCCAGAGAUGGAUUGGUGCCUUCGGGAAUCUAGAUACAGGUGCUGCAUGGCUGUCGUCAGCUCGUGUCGUGAGAUGUUGGGUUAAGUCCCGCAACGAGCGCAACCCUUUUCCUUACUUGCCAGCAUUUCGGAUGGGAACUUUAAGGAUACUGCCAGUGACAAACUGGAGGAAGGCGGGGACGACGUCAAGUCAUCAUGGCCCUUACGGCCAGGGCUACACACGUGCUACAAUGGUCGGUACAAAGGGUUGCUACACAGCGAUGUGAUGCUAAUCUCAAAAAGC